rnacentral:rRNA from 1 species
UAGCUAGUUGGUGAGGUAAAGGCUUACCAAGGCGACGAUCUGUAGCGGGUCUGAGAGGAUGAUCCGCCACACUGGAACUGAGACACGGUCCAGACUCCUACGGGAGGCAGCAGUGGGGAAUUUUGGACAAUGGGGGCAACCCUGAUCCAGCCAUGCCGCGUGAGUGAAGAAGGCCUUCGGGUUGUAAAGCUCUUUCGGCCGGGAAGAAAUCGCAUGGGCCAAUACCCUGUGUGGAUGACGGUACCGGAAUAAGAAGCACCGGCUAACUACGUGCCAGCAGCCGCGGUAAUACGUAGUGUGCGAGCGUUAAUCGGAAUUACUGGGCGUAAAGCGUGCGCAGGCGGUUUUGUAAGACAGGCGUGAAAUCCCCGGGCUUAACCUGGGAACUGCGUUUGUGACUGCAAGGCUAGAGUACGGCAGAGGGGGGUGGAAUUCCACGUGUAGCAGUGAAAUGCGUAGAGAUGUGGAGGAACACCAAUGGCGAAGGCAGCCCCCUGGGUCGAUACUGACGCUCAUGCACGAAAGCGUGGGUAGCAAACAGGAUUAGAUACCCUGGUAGUCCACGCCCUAACUAUGUCAACUAGGUGUUGGGUGGGUAAAACCGUUUAGUACCGUAGCUAACGCGUGAAGUUGACCGCCUGGGGAGUACGGCCGCAAGGUUAAAACUCAAAGGAAUUGACGGGGACCCGCACAAGCGGUGGAUGAUGUGGAUUAAUUCGAUGCAACGCGAAAAACCUUACCUACCCUUGACAUGCCAGGAACUUGCCAGAGAUGGCUUGGUGCCCGAAAGGGAGCCUGGACACAGGUGCUGCAUGGCUGUCGUCAGCUCGUGUCGUGAGAUGUUGGGUUAAGUCCCGCAACGAGCGCAACCCUUGUCGUUAAUUGCCAUCAUUUAGUUGGGCACUUUAACGAGACUGCCGGUGACGAACCGGAGGAAGGUGGGGAUGACGUCAAGUCCUCAUGGCCCUUAUGGGUAGGGCUUCACACGUCAUACAAUGGUCGGUACAAAGGGUUGCCAAGCCGCGAGGCGGAGCCAAUCCCAGAAAGCCGAUCGUAGUCCGGAUUGCAGGCUGCAACUUGCCUGCAUGAAGUCGGAAUCGCUAGUAAUCGUGGAUCAGCAUGUCACGGUGAAUACGUUCCCGGGUCUUGUACACACCGCCCGUCACACCAUGGGAGCGGGUUCCGCCAGAAGUAGGUAGCCUAACCGCAAGGGGGGCGCUUACCACGGCGGGGUUCGUGACUGGGGUGAAAUCGGAACAAGGUAGCCGUAGGGGAACCUGCGGCUG